rnacentral:rRNA from 1 species
CAAUAGCGUAUAUUAAAGUUGUUGCAGUUAAAAAGCUCGUAGUUGGAUCUCAGGUGCAGGCGGGCGGUCCGGCUCGCGCCGGUCACUGCUCGUAUCUCCUGCCCUACCGUUUGCCGGCUCUCUCCCGUGGGUGCUCUUCACUGAGCGUCCCGGGUGGCCGGUGCGUUUACUUUGAAAAAUUAGAGUGUUCAAAGCAGGCCUCGGCAGCCUGAAUAAUGGUGCAUGGAAUAAUGGAAUAGGACCUCGGUUCUAUUUUGUUGGUUUUCGGAACGGAGGUAAUGAUUAACAGGGACAAACGGGGGCAUUCGUAUUGCGGCGUUAGAGGUGAAAUUCUUGGAUCGCCGCAAGACGAGCUACUGCGAAAGCAUUUGUCAAGAAUGUUUUCAUUAGUCAAGAACGAAAGUCAGAGGCGCGAAGACGAUUAGAUACCAU